rnacentral:lncRNA from 10 species
ACUUACUCUCCUGCCGCCUUGUGAAGAAGGUGCCUGCUUUCUCUUCUGCCAUAACUGACUCUGUAUCUUGCUGAGCCUUCUUAGCUUGGAUUCUUUGAUGAAACACCACCAUAUUGGAGCAUUCCACCUGCCAAAGAACUGAAGGCAAGCUUCAGCCAACAGCCAGCAAGGAACUAAGAUCUUCAGCCCAAAGCCACAGGGAACUGAGUCCUGCCAACUGCCACAUCAGUGAGCAUAGAUGGGAUCCUCCACAGUUGAACUUUCAGAUAAGACCAGAGCCACACCUGACAAUUUGAUUGCAGCCUUGCAGACAACCCUGAAGCAGAGGACCCAGUUCAAUCAUGCUGGGAUUCCUGACCCACAGAAUCCAUGAGAAAAUAAAUGUGUGUGUUUAAGCCUCUACAUUUUGAGGCAAUUUGUUAUACAGCAAGAGAUAAUGAAUACUUUUGUUAUUUUUCAUUUUAGGUAAAUUAUUUCUACUUUGCAAGUUUGCGUAAUAAGUCUAGUAAAUCCUUCUGUAGUCAUGAAAUAAUACAGAAGUAAGAAAAAAAAUCCCAUUUUCUUGAAUGAGAAAGCAAGGUGCUGACAUAACAUUG